CUUUUCCUAUCGGUAGCCAUUGAUAAAAAAUGGGCCGAGUUAUCAGAACUCAGAGAAAGGGUCCUGGAGGGAUCUUCAAGGCCCGCACCAAGAACAGGAAGGGCAAGGCAGCCCUGAGGGCUGUGGACUUUGCCGAGAGACAUGGAUACAUUAAGGGAGUAGUCAAGGACAUUAUUCACGAUCCAGGUCGUGGUGCUCCUCUGGCAAAGGUUGUGUUCCGUGAUCCAUACAGGUUCCGCCUGCGCACGGAAGAGGUAACCAUCAACAUAUUGGUAAAGCAUCCACGGUCAGGAGAGACACGUCAGCCGGUAGAAAGGUCGGUCUUAUUGCUGCCAGACGUACAGGUCGUCUACGUGGAACAAAACAACAGAAGCCAACCGAGAAAGAGUAAAAUCUGUUGUUAUCUGUACAAAGACAUUAAAAAAAAUAGUAC
rnacentral:misc_RNA from 1 species